rnacentral:rRNA from 1 species
UACGAAGGGGGCUAGCGUUGCUCGGAAUUACUGGGCGUAAAGCGCACGUAGGCGGCUUUCUAAGUCGGGGGUGAAAUCCUGGAGCUCAACUCCAGAACUGCCUUCGAUACUGGAAAGCUUGAGUCCGGGAGAGGUGAGUGGAACUGCGAGUGUAGAGGUGAAAUUCGUAGAUAUUCGCAAGAACACCAGUGGCGAAGGCGGCUCACUGGCCCGGUACUGACGCUGAGGUGCGAAAGCGUGGGGAGCAAACAGG